GGUUAAGCGACUAAGCGUACACGGUGGAUGCCCUGGCAGUCAGAGGCGAUGAAGGGCGUGCUAAUCUGCGAUAAGCGCCGGUAAGGUGAUAUGAACCGUUAUAACCGGCGAUACCCGAAUGGGGAAACCCAGUGUGACUCGUCACACUAUCAUUAACUGAAUCCAUAGGUUAAUGAGGCGAACCGGGGGAACUGAAACAUCUAAGUACCCCGAGGAAAAGAAAUCAACCGAGAUUCCCCCAGUAGCGGCGAGCGAACGGGGAGGAGCCCAGAGCCUGAAUCAGCAUGUGUGUUAGUGGAAGCGUCUGGAAAGGCGCGCGAUACAGGGUGACAGCCCCGUACACAAAAGCGCAUGUGCUGUGAGCUCGAUGAGUAGGGCGGGACACGUGGUAUCCUGUCUGAAUAUGGGGGGACCAUCCUCCAAGGCUAAAUACUCCUGACUGACCGAUAGUGAACCAGUACCGUGAGGGAAAGGCGAAAAGAACCCCGGCGAGGGGAGUGAAAAAGAACCUGAAACCGUGUACGUACAAGCAGUGGGAGCACCCUUUGGGUGUGACUGCGUACCUUUUGUAUAAUGGGUCAGCGACUUAUAUUCUGUAGCAAGGUUAACCGAAUAGGGGAGCCGGAGGGAAACCGAGUCUUAAUUGGGCGUUAAGUUGCAGGGUAUAGACCCGAAACCCGGUGAUCUAGCCAUGGGCAGGUUGAAGGUUGGGUAACACUAACUGGAGGACCGAACCGACUAAUGUUGAAAAAUUAGCGGAUGACCUGUGGCUGGGGGUGAAAGGCCAAUCAAACCGGGAGAUAGCUGGUUCUCCCCGAAAGCUAUUUAGGUAGCGCCUCGUGAAUUCAUCUCCGGGGUAGAGCACUGUUUCGGCUAGGGGGCCAUCCCGGCUUACCAACCCGAUGCAAACUGCGAAUACCGGAGAAUGUUAUCACGGGAGACACACGGCGGGUGCUAACGUCCGUCGUGAAGAGGGAAACAACCCAGACCGCCAGCUAAGGUCCCAAAGUCAUGGUUAAGUGGGAAACGAUGUGGGAAGGCCCAGACAGCCAGGAUGUUGGCUUAGAAGCAGCCAUCAUUUAAAGAAAGCGUAAUAGCUCACUGGUCGAGUCGGCCUGCGCGGAAGAUGUAACGGGGCUAAACCAUGCACCGAAGCUGCGGCAGCGACACUGUGUGUUGUUGGGUAGGGGAGCGUUCUGUAAGCCUGUGAAGGUGUGUCGUGAGGCAUGCUGGAGGUAUCAGAAGUGCGAAUGCUGACAUAAGUAACGAUAAAGCGGGUGAAAAGCCCGCUCGCCGGAAGACCAAGGGUUCCUGUCCAACGUUAAUCGGGGCAGGGUGAGUCGACCCCUAAGGCGAGGCCGAAAGGCGUAGUCGAUGGGAAACGGGUUAAUAUUCCCGUACUUGGUGUUACUGCGAAGGGGGACGGAGAAGGCUAUGUUGGCCGGGCGACGGUUGUCCCGGUUUAAGUGUGUAGGUGUGUGUUCCAGGUAAAUCCGGUUCACUUUAACACUGAGGCGUGACGACGAGGCACUACGGUGCUGAAGCAACAAAUGCCCUGCUUCCAGGAAAAGCCUCUAAGCAUCAGGUAACAUCAAAUCGUACCCCAAACCGACACAGGUGGUCAGGUAGAGAAUACCAAGGCGCUUGAGAGAACUCGGGUGAAGGAACUAGGCAAAAUGGUGCCGUAACUUCGGGAGAAGGCACGCUGACACGUAGGUGAAGUGAUUUACUCAUGGAGCUGAAGUCAGUCGAAGAUACCAGCUGGCUGCAACUGUUUAUUAAAAACACAGCACUGUGCAAACACGAAAGUGGACGUAUACGGUGUGACGCCUGCCCGGUGCCGGAAGGUUAAUUGAUGGGGUCAGCGCAAGCGAAGCUCCUGAUCGAAGCCCCGGUAAACGGCGGCCGUAACUAUAACGGUCCUAAGGUAGCGAAAUUCCUUGUCGGGUAAGUUCCGACCUGCACGAAUGGCGUAAUGAUGGCCAGGCUGUCUCCACCCGAGACUCAGUGAAAUUGAACUCGCUGUGAAGAUGCAGUGUACCCGCGGCAAGACGGAAAGACCCCGUGAACCUUUACUAUAGCUUGACACUGAACAUUGAGCCUUGAUGUGUAGGAUAGGUGGGAGGCUUUGAAGUGUGGACGCCAGUCUGCAUGGAGCCGACCUUGAAAUACCACCCUUUAAUGUUUGAUGUUCUAACGUGGACCCGUUACCCGGGUUGCGGACAGUGUCUGGUGGGUAGUUUGACUGGGGCGGUCUCCUCCUAAAGAGUAACGGAGGAGCACGAAGGUUGGCUAAUCCUGGUCGGACAUCAGGAGGUUAGUGCAAUGGCAUAAGCCAGCUUGACUGCGAGCGUGACGGCGCGAGCAGGUGCGAAAGCAGGUCAUAGUGAUCCGGUGGUUCUGAAUGGAAGGGCCAUCGCUCAACGGAUAAAAGGUACUCCGGGGAUAACAGGCUGAUACCGCCCAAGAGUUCAUAUCGACGGCGGUGUUUGGCACCUCGAUGUCGGCUCAUCACAUCCUGGGGCUGAAGUAGGUCCCAAGGGUAUGGCUGUUCGCCAUUUAAAGUGGUACGCGAGCUGGGUUUAGAACGUCGUGAGACAGUUCGGUCCCUAUCUGCCGUGGGCGCUGGAGAACUGAGGGGGGCUGCUCCUAGUACGAGAGGACCGGAGUGGACGCAUCACUGGUGUUCGGGUUGUCAUGCCAAUGGCACUGCCCGGUAGCUAAAUGCGGAAGAGAUAAGUGCUGAAAGCAUCUAAGCACGAAACUUGCCCCGAGAUGAGUUCUCCCUGAGACUUAAAGUCUCCUGAAGGAACGUUGAAGACGACGACGUUGAUAGGCCGGGUGUGUAAGCGCAGCGAUGCGUUGAGCUAACCGGUACUAAUGAACCGUGAGGCUUAACCUU
rnacentral:rRNA from 1 species